AGGUCGCUUUUGGGAGGAUCUGGUAAGAGGAAAAGCUGAAAUGAACUUUUUGGUAGCGUGCAAUAUCUUUGCUGCUUUUUUAUUACUUUGGACAAUUUAAUGUUGCUUGAAAUUUUGCUUCCUUUGUUGUAAGAAUCCCUAAUGAAGGCCUGUAAAUUGUGUUUGACUAUUGGCAAGAUAGUGCAUGCACAUGCACACAAACUCACUUUGU
rnacentral:misc_RNA from 1 species